UACGAAGGGGGCUAGCGUUGCUCGGAAUUACUGGGCGUAAAGCGCACGUAGGCGGCUUUCUAAGUCGGGGGUGAAAUCCUGGAGCUCAACUCCAGAACUGCCUUCGAUACUGGAAAGCUCGAGUCCGGGAGAGGUGAGUGGAACUGCGAGUGUAGAGGUGAAAUGUGUAGAGAUCGGGAGGAACACCGGUGGCGAAGGCGGGUCUCUGGGCAAUUCCUGACGCUGAGGCGCGAAAGCGUGGGGAGCAAACGGG
rnacentral:rRNA from 1 species